rnacentral:rRNA from 1 species
UACGUAGGGGGCAAGCGUUGUCCGGAAUCAUUGGGCGUAAAGCGCGUGUAGGCGGCCAGAAAAGUCCGCUGUGAAAACUCGAGGCUCAACCUCGAGCUGUCGGUGGAAACUUUCUGGCUAGAGUCCGGAAGAGGAGAAUGGAAUUCCUGGUGUAGCGGUGAAAUGCGCAGAUAUCAGGAGGAACACCGAUGGCGAAGGCAGCUCGCUGGGACGGUACUGACGCUGAGGCGCGAAAGCGUGGGGAGCGAACAGG